CCGCCCGCAGACCGGCGUGGUGAGCAUGGUGUACACGCAGUCCGAGAUCCUGCAGAAGGAGGUGUACCUCUUCGAGCGCCUCGACUCCGCCAACAGGGAGGCCAUGAAGCACCUCAAGGCCAUCUGCUUCCUGCGGCCCACCAAGGAGAACGUGGAGUUCCUCGUUCAGGAGCUGCGGAGGCCCAAGUACAGCAUCUAUUUUAUUUAUUUCAGUAACGUGAUCAGUAAGAGUGAUGUCAAGUCAUUGGCUGAGGCUGAUGAGCAGGAAGUUGUGGCUGAAGUUCAGGAGUUCUACGGCGAUUACAUUGCAGUGAAUCCACACGUUUUUUCUCUCAACCUCUUGGGCUGCUGCCAGGGUCGCAACUGGGAUCCGGCUCAGCUGUCCAGGACAACUCAAGGGCUGACUGCUCUGCUCUUGUCGCUGAAGAAAUGCCCCAUGAUUCGGUACCAGCUCUCGUCUGAGGCAGCCAAGAGGCUUGCUGAAUGCGUGAAGCAAGUAAUCACUAAAGAGUAUGAGCUGUUUGACUUUCGGCGCACUGAGGUUCCUCCUUUGCUUCUCAUUCUGGACCGGUCUGACGAUGCCAUCACCCCGCUGCAGAACCAGUGGACGUACCAGGCUAUGGUUCACGAAUUGCUGGGCAUUAACAACAACCGCAUCGACCUCUCUCGGGUACCGGGGAUAAGCAAGGAUCUCCGAGAGGUGGUCCUGUCUGCCGAGAACGACGAGUUCUACGCCAACAACAUGUACCUGAACUUCGCGGAGAUUGGCAGUAACAUCAAGAAUCUUAUGGAGGAUUUCCAGAGGAGGAAACCUAAGGAGCACCAGAAGCUGGAAUCCAUAGCAGAUAUGAAGGCAUUUGUGGAGAAUUACCCGCAGUUCAAGAAGAUGUCGGGCACGGUGUCGAAGCACGUGACGGUAGUGGGAGAGCUCUCUCGACUGGUUGGUGAGCGGAACCUGCUGGAGGUGUCUGAAGUGGAGCAGGAGCUGGCCUGCCAGAACGACCAUUCCAGUGCUCUCCAGAAUGUGCGUCGCCUCCUGCAGAACCCCAAGGUGACAGAGUUUGACGCUGCCCGGCUGGUGAUGCUUUAUGCCCUGCACUACGAGCGGCACAGCAGCAAUAGCCUGCCAGGGCUGAUGACAGAUCUCAAGAACCGGGGCGUUUCAGAGAAAUACCGAAAGCUAGUGUCUGCUGUCGUGGAGUAUGGAGGGAAACGGGUCCGGGGCAGUGACCUGUUCAGUCCCAAGGAUGCUGUAGCCAUCACCAAACAGUUCCUCAAAGGCCUGAAGGGUGUUGAGAAUGUGUAUACGCAACACCAGCCUCUCCUUCAAGAAACGCUAGAUCAGCUCAUCAAAGGAAAACUCAAGGACAGCCAGUACCCCUACCUGGGUCCCAACACUCUCCGUGACAGGCCCCAAGACAUUAUCGUGUUCAUCAUCGGAGGGGCAACUUAUGAAGAGGCGCUGACUGUCUAUAACCUCAACCGCACCAACCCGGGGGUCCGAAUCGUCCUCGGUGGGACCACAAUCCACAACACGAAAAGCUUCCUUGAGGAAGUUACAGCUUCGGGGUUCCGUGGCCGAGGCGCUGAGACCUCUCAAGUUACGCCAAGGUCAAGCAGCAGGCGGUGAAUCUUGGAGAAAUCUCUGGCUCGCCCAUCCGGAGCUUCCAUGAACUGACCGUACAGCUUUGGAGCAGACCUGGACGUUCCCACCCCGCGCUGCUGCUGUAGCUUCCCCCAUCCACCUUAAUGAGCACGAGAAGCACCUGGGCAGCGAAUGCUGGAGUUGGCAUCUGCCCUGGUGAACCAGGACAUGCCCCAUGCUGCAGCACCCUCGUUAUCUUCUCACAAACACAGCUCUGAACGGGACAUGGUGGUGGAAUUGGACUUGUCACCGGUGGAGAGCCUGGGAAAAAUGGCACUACAGCCGCACGGAGCCUCUGCAGCUCUGCCGGCCUUUGGGAAGGCUGCGCUCUGAGCCGAUGUGUCAAAACAUGUGGUAUCAGUCCCCUGACGAACAUCUAACGAUCCUGGCCCAGACUUCUUGUGCAUUUCUGGAAGCAGUAAUAAAACAUGUUGGAUUUGAAAAGAAAGAAGAGAAUUGGGGUUGUGGAGCAGAGCUGGGAGCAGAGGAGGGUGGCUGCAUCCUCCUAGGCAUGCGAGCCUGACCAGAACGUGCUCCCUCUGCUUUCCGGACCCGGGCUCUGUGGAAGGUGGAGAGAAGCAAGGUACGGGAACUGUGAAAAGCCGCACAGGUUAAGAGUGAAAACAGACUGGAUGCCUGGAUGUCCGCUACCAAUGAGCAAGUCUUUCCCUUAUCUCUUGCUUUCCCAUAAUUAAGUAAGACCGAACCUCCAGCUCCCUGAGAGCUCUGCAGAGCUCUUGUGGAGGGAAAGUACUUGAAUUCACACUCAUUUCUCUGGCUUAAUUCCCUGAAGCAAGGUCACGCCGAGCCUGGGCACCUGUCCAUCCAAAAAUCGCCCCGCAGUGCUGAAGGAUCGAUGGUACGUGCGGCGUGGAGCUGCUCCAGGGCUCUCGCCUGAAAACAAUGGGGUCAGGCCGUGGGGCAGAGUUCCCACGCCACAUCAUUAGGGAGCGUUUCCUUUCUGACUCGGGAGUGUCAGGCAUUGUUUUGGAAGGGAUGGGUACUGGCAUGGUUUCCAGUCCGUCGCCUUCAUCAUCCCGUCUAGGGAGCCGACACGCUUCGCCCCUCUCCUCCCUGCAGGAUUAACGCCCUGCAGUGCCGCAGUCCUCGUCAGGCAGCGGAGUCCCAAGGUGGGGUCGGCGCUGUUGCUGGCAGCAGGAGAGGCACCUAACGGGACAAGGUGUUGGCUUUAUUUAGCCAGCAGGCUCAAACCUCAGCAGGCAGCUCCGUUUCCUAACAGCCUAUUGGAAAAGGUUGUGCUCCCGGUACUGGAUUAAGGGGUGGAUUAAGAGAUUCCUACAACGUGUGAUGUUGCAUCAACCUUUGCGAAGUGAAACCUGUCUCUUCUGUAUCACUUUUUGCAGCCUCCCUGCUACCCAUUUUUGCUUACUGGCAAAUGCAAGCGCUGAAGGUUUGGACCGAGCCUGACACAAAGUCCUGGGGGCCCGGCCCUGCGCCCCUGCAUAGUCAUUAUUUCCCUUGCACUUCCCAUCGUAAGGCUUGGCGGGUCGCAGGGCACAGUGCAGCUUUGCAAAGGCUCAGACGGAGCAGACAUCACCUAAGGUUGGCUGGCUCCCUUUUGAUCAAUGCUGUGGUAAACAAUCAGAGGUUUUUAAACCAGAGCAGAUAACAAACUGGAGAGAAGGAACACAGUGCUGGGGUUUGGGGUUUGGGUUUGGUUUUCUUUUUCCAGCCGCAUUUGGACCUUGUAUCUCGUGCUGUCUCACCUCAGCCGCCGCCUCCUGCGUGGAAUCCCACUGCUUUCUUGCAGGCAAAGCGAAUCGUUCCUCAGAAAUGAGGCAGAACUGGGAUCUCCAGGCAAAAUCCCUGGCUUGCUGUUUCUGCUGGGCCACCAGCAACGAGGCCUCCAGGGCCAGGGCACCCGCUCUCAGGGCAUCAGGGAGUGAAAUUCCUCAGCAGAGCAGGAGCCCUCGCGUGAGUACCACGGCCCUGAGCCAAGCUCUGCCAAUGCUCCUGAGAGCCCUCCACUCUCCCCAGCGAGCGCAGUUGCGACCGUGGCUCCUGUGGAGGCACAAGAGGGGGGGUGAGAGAAAGAUGCCGGACCCAGAGCAUCCUUUUUGGGCAGAGCAGGCCCGAUGGGCAUCCCUGCUGCUCACUAGCGAUGGUCAGGAACAGCUCCCAGGCUGGUGUCUCAGAGGCCGAGUCCUGCUGGGGAGAUGGGCAUCCCCCACGCCCCAGGCACUCCCCGGGUAUUUUCUGGGCCACAAAGAGCUUCGGGUCCCGGGUGUAACACGGGGUCGCCACUGCUGAGCCUGCAGCAACCCGCGUCCUGCUCCCAGGCACCUGUAAGGCUUUUGCUCACGAACUUCUGCGCUGGUAUAAAACAAGAGCACUUUAGCAACCAACAGGGAAUCGGGGCUUCUGGAUCAAGCAAAGCUCCAAACCCACCCUGGGCCACAGGAGACAAGCCAGAGAACUUUACUCAGUAGUUUCUACAUCUCAUUUAUAACUCUGCUUAAGCUAAAGUGCAUGUUAAACACGGACCCCAUCUUUGUUUAAAAACACACAUCCCCAGACUGCCUAUCCUCCCGGGAUUUCUUUUUUGGCUUUCUUUUUAAGUACACGCUGUAGCUAAAAUUGGACUUGCUUCAAUUUUCAGCCUCUGUCUUUUCUUUCAGAGCUUUCUGCCAUGCCAGUGGAUGCACAGAUUAUACUCAAGAUAAUUUUAGCCCAUAGUAUAUGUGGGGUUAUUAAUUUGCCUUCUGGAGGCCAUGUAUCUCGCUGGAUGGGGAGGGGGGAAGAGAAGCAGCUCCCAGGGGUCUUCCUCUGACGUCUUAGGAGGGUUCUGUUUUCCCGUCUGGAAGGAAAGGCGUGUGACGACUCUGGUUUAGGGCAUCACGAGUAAAAGUCCCCCCACACUGCAGAAUCAGUUUCCCAGGGCAUUUUCUCAUGGAAAAAUCACUGAGCUGAAAAGGAAACAGCAGGGCCCUUGGUAGGAGGUGGGAAGACUCUCGGCGAGGCCGGUUCCUUUAUCACUCUGCUGAGCCACGGCUUUUUGUGGCUCGGCUUGUAUUGUUCCUGCACUCACAGAGGCAAAAUGGGAGAGUCUCAGUCAUUCAAACCCUUGCUCCUGCCCUUGGCACGGGUGACUAAUACUGCUGCAGAUGGAGAUUUAUUGGGCAAUUGCUAGGCUCCUUGCAAGAUGGGAAGAGCCUUGUAAUUUCUUCUUUUGGCCACAGCUUCAAUCUGUUCACGGAGCAGGAAUAACAAGAGAAUACAGAUGGAAUGAUGUCUCUCGCUGUUUUCCGCGCCCAAGUGCUGGAAUACAAAGCGCAAGUCGCUGUUGGGUGGAGGAUGUGAUGGUAAUGGCUUCCAGCGAAAGGGAGGUGAUUCCUCGGCGUGCUGCUGAAACGGGAUGAGGCUGGAGCGGAGGGAAGUUUUUGCACCAAAGCUGCUUCUUCAGAGCGAAAUGCCAGUGCGGUGGCAUUGCAACA